GAUGAACGCUGGCGGCGUGCCUAAUACAUGCAAGUCGAGCGGAAAGGCCUCUUCGGAGGUACUCGAGCGGCGGACGGCUGAGUAACACGUAGGAAUGUACCCCAAAGUGAGGGAUAACUGCUCGAAAGAGUAGCUAAUACCGCAUGUGAUCCACGGAUUAAAGCUUCAUGCGCUUUGGGAACAGCCUGCGUAGGAUUAGUUAGUUGGUGAGGUAAUGGCACACCAAGACGAUGAUCAUUAGCUGGUCUGAGAGGAUGGUCAGCCAGACUGGGACUGAGACACGGUCCAGACUCCUACGGGAGGCAGCAGUGGGGAAUAUUGCACAAUGGGCGCAAGCCUGAUGCAGCCAUGCCGCGUGUAUGAAGAAGGCCUUCGGGUUGUAAAGUACUUUCAGCGGGGAGGAAGGCGGUGAAGUUAAUAACUUCACCGAUUGACGUUACCCGCAGAAGAAGCACCGGCUAACUACGUGCCAGCAGCCGCCGUAA
rnacentral:rRNA from 1 species